GCGGGUGUAGUAUAGUGGCAGUACAGGAGUUUCCAAAACUUCUAGCGGGGGUUCGAUUCCCUCCACCCGUG
rnacentral:tRNA from 1 species